rnacentral:siRNA from 1 species
CGGGGGCUCUCCUCUAGUUCCCA